AUUGAACGCUGGCGGCAGGCCUAACACAUGCAAGUCGAGCGGAUGAAGGGAGCUUGCUCCUGGAUUCAGCGGCGGACGGUGAGGAAUGCCUAGGAAUCUGCCUGGGAGUGGGGGAUAACGUCCGGAAACGGGCGCUAAUUCCGCCUACGUACCGGCGGAGAAAGUGGGGGGUCUUUGGGACCCACGCUAACAGAUGAGCCUAGGUCGGAUUAGCUAGGUGGUGGGGUAAAGGCCUACCAAGGCGACGAUCCGUAACUGGUCUGAGAUGAUGAUCAGUCACACUGGAACUGAGACACGGUCCAGACUCCUACGGGAGGCAGCAGUGGGGAAUAUUGGACAAUGGGCGAAAGCCUGAUCCAGCCAUGCCGCGUGUGUGAAGAAGGUCUUCGGAUUGUAAAGCACUUUAAGUUGGGAGGAAGGGCAGUAAGUUAAUACCUUGCUGUUUUGACGUUACCAACAGAAUAAGCACCGGCUAACUUCGUG
rnacentral:rRNA from 1 species